GAGAUUGUGAUAAGGAUGUCUAAUUGUCGAUACUUAAUUUAUCUAACUAAUGCCAAAAUUUAAAAUGUCUAUAAAUAGAAGUAUAUAAUUUAGAGAAGGGUCAUCCAUUGAAUAUCUUCAGAAAAGAUGAUGAGAAAAGAAGCUUUGUUUAUUUGUUUGACAUGGGUUUUAGUGUUCAUAUCCAUUGCCAUAUCUGCAAAUGCAACAGCAGCCCCUCGUCUGCAUAGAUUUGAGCAUUUGGUUCAGCCCCAAGCAGGUUGUCACUGUUGCUUCACAGGAAGGCCUCCGAACCUCAAAUGCGUAACAGUGUGCUGCGAGGUUAAUUGUUGCUUGAAAAACUGAAGAAUCAAUGGAGUUUUCAUGUUUAGGUUUUCACUAAAUAAACUGUGGCUUGCGUUUAAUUAGUAAAUUGAAUACGUGAUUAUAAGGUUCUACUUGUAUGAAGUUUCCAUAUCUCUUGUGCUUCAGCUUUUGGAUUGUUAUUAAAAAUAAUGAGAUCAGCAUUAUAUCAACACUAAAUGUAAUUCAAGUUUGGAAACAAAGUGUUGAAUUGAAACAAAGUAAUUUUCAUUGCAGUACUAA